rnacentral:rRNA from 1 species
CCUACGGGUGGCAGGAGUGAGGAAUAUUGGUCAAUGGGAGAGAGCCGGAACCAGCCAAGCCGCGGGAGGGAAGACGGCCCUAUGGGUUGUAAACCUCUUUUGUCGGAGAACAAAACCCGGGACGUGUCCCGGACUGCGUGUAUCCGAAGAAAAAGCAUCGGAUAACUCCGUGCCAGCAGCCGAGGUAAUACGGAGGAUGCGAGCGUUAUCCGGAUUGAUUGGGUUUAAAGGGAGCGUAGAGGGGUUGUUAAGUCAGUUGUGAAAGUUUGCGGCUCAACCGUAAAAUUGCAAUUGAUACGGGCAGUCUUGCGUCCCGUUGAGGUCGGCUGACUUCGUGGUGUAGC